AGCGGCGGACGGGUGAGUAACGCGUGGGUAACCUGCCUCAUACGCAUGGAUAACAUACCGAAAGGCAUGCUAAUACAAGAUGAUAUAAGAGAUUCGCAUGGAUUUCUUAUCAAAGCUCCGGCGGUAUGAGAUGGACCCGCGUCUGAUUAGCUAGUUGGUAAGGUAACGGCUUACCAAGGCGACGAUCAGUAGCCGACCUGAGAGGGUGAUCGGCCACAUUGGAACUGAGACACGGUCCAAACUCCUACGGGAGGCAGCAGUGGGGAAUAUUGCACAAUGGGCGAAAGCCUGAUGCAGCAACGCCGCGUGAGCGAUGAAGGCCUUCGGGUCGUAAAGCUCUGUCCUCAAGGAAGAUAAUGACGGUACUUGAGGAGGAAGCCCCGGCUAACUACGUGCCAGCAGCCGCGGUAAUACGUAGGGGGCUAGCGUUAUCCGGAUUUACUGGGCGUAAAGGGUGCGUAGGUGGUUUCUUAAGUCAGGAGUGAAAGACUACGGCUCAACCGUAGUAAGCUCUUGAAACUGGGAAACUUGAGUGCAGGAGAGGAAAGUGGAAUUCCUAGUGUAGCGGUGAAAUGCGUAGAUAUUAGGAGGAACACCAGUAGCGAAGGCGGCUUUCUGGACUGUAACUGACACUGAGGCACGAAAGCGUGGGGAGCAAACAGGAUUAGAUACCCUGGUAGUCCACGCCGUAAACGAUGAGUACUAGGUGU
rnacentral:rRNA from 1 species